GUGGAUAAAGUGUUGUAUAGCCUGUGUUGUGGUUGAAUAAAGUGAGACGUGCAGUGCCGUCUCUGUUCCGACAUUGGACGCCCGUGUUUCUUUAUUUUAUAGUCAAACCUGAGUCUAGACAACAGAAGAAACCCGCGGUUACAUUAGUACACAAACAUCUGACCGGAAGUUGUUGGUACGACCCUGAAACGAAGCUACACAGAGCAGGUCGGGGAGAAGAGGAGCAGAGCCGCGAGGAACUUUAACAUGAAGUCUGAGAGGAAGCUGUCAGCGGACCAGGGGACAGCUUUACCUCAAGAUGUUCUGGAAGUGAUUGUUGGUGAAGAGGAGCAGCAGGAGUGUAGCUCCAGUGUGGACCAGCAGGAGUGUAGCUCCAGUGUGGACCAGCAGGAGC